UUACUGCUUCCACUUUCCUAUA
rnacentral:miRNA from 7 species